AUAUCAAUAAGCGGAGGAAAAGAAACCAACCGGGAUUGCCUCAGUAACGGCGAGUGAAGCGGCAAGAGCUCAAAUUUGAAAUCUGGCCCCUUCGGGGUCCGAGUUGUAAUUUGCAGAGGAUGCUUCGGAUGCGGCCCCUGUCUAAGUGCCCUGGAACGGGCCGUCGGAGAGGGUGAGAAUCCCGUCUGGGAUGGGGUGUCCGUGUCCGUGUGAAGCUCCUUCGACGAGUCGAGUUGUUUGGGAAUGCAGCUCUAAAUGGGUGGUAAAUUUCAUCUAAAGCUAAAUACUGGCCGGAGACCGAUAGCGCACAAGUAGAGUGAUCGAAAGAUGAAAAGCACUUUGAAAAGAGAGUUAAACAGCAC
rnacentral:rRNA from 1 species